rnacentral:rRNA from 1 species
CAUUACCGAAUUGUCAACACGAGUUGUUGCUGGUCCUCGAAAGGGGGCAUGUGCACGCUCUGUUUACACAUCCACUCACACCUGUGCACCCUCUGUAGUUCUAUGGCUUGGGGGACUCUGUCCGCCUGCUGUGGUUCUAUGUCUUUACACACGCUCUGUAAUAAAGUCUCAUGGAAUGUAUGUCGCGUUUAACGCAAUGCAAUACAACUUUCAGCAACGGAUCUCUUGGCUCUCGCAUCGAUGAAGAACGCAGCGAAAUGCGAUAAGUAAUGUGAAUUGCAGAAUUCAGUGAAUCAUCGAAUCUUUGAACGCACCUUGCGCCCUUUGGCUAUUCCGAAGGGCAUGCCUGUUUGAGUAUCAUGAACACCUCAACUCUCAUGGUUUGCCAUGAUGAGCUUGGACUUCUGGGGGUUUUGCUGGCUUGCCGUCGGCUCCUCUCAAACGAAUCAGCUUGCCAGUGUUUGGUGGCAUCAUGGGUGUGAUAACUAUCUACGCUUGUGGUUUUCUGCCAGGUAGCCUUCAGUAAUGGAGGUUCGCUGGAGCUCAUAAACGUCUCUCCUCAGUGAAGACAGCUUUGUGAACGUUUG